GGCGGCGUGCUUAACACAUGCAAGUCGAACGCGAACGGGACUCGGUCCCUAGUAGAGUGGCGCACGGUGAGUAACGCGUAGAUAACCUAUCUUCCUGUCUGGAAUAAUACGCCGAAAGGAGUACUAAUACCGGAUACUCUUGCUUUUCAUAAGUAUAGCAAGCAAAGGUGGCCUCUGUAUAUGCUACUGCAGGGAGAGGGGUCUGCGUACCAUUAGCUAGUAGGUGGGGUAAGGGCCUACCUAGGCUACGAUGGUUAGCGGGUCUGAGAGGAUGAUCCGCCACACUGGCACUGGAACACGGGCCAGACUCCUACGGGAGGCAGCAGUGAGGAAUAUUGCGCAAUGGGGGCAACCCUGACGCAGCGACGCCGCGUGAGUGAAGGAAGGCCUUCGGGUCGUAAAGCUCUGUCAAGAGGAAAGAAGUGCAUAGCGGUUAAUACCCGUUAUGUUUGACGGUACCUCUAAAGGAAGCACCGGCUAACUCCGUGCCAGCAGCUGC
rnacentral:rRNA from 1 species